rnacentral:lncRNA from 1 species
GUCCCAGUAAAUAUUGUGCCUGUACCAAGUUAUUAUGACUGUGUUAUCGGUAUUACGUCUCUUUGGUUGAGCAUUUAGUUUAUCGGAUGUUGGUGUUUUUUGCGGUCUGUUGUGUGUUUUUUUUUUUAUACCGAUCAUUCUUGUUAUCGUCUUUUGUAUUGGGUAAUUCAUGUGUUCUAGAAAUGUAUUUUUACACCAUUCAAAGCACACUUAUAUUGCUGGUGAGCCUUAUCUAGCGUAGACCUAUUACUACACAUUCAUGAACAAUAUAAUAUUGUUGUAUAUAUAACAAAAUCUUUAUAACAACUUC